UACAGAGGUCUCGAGCGUUAGGCGGAAUUACUGGGCGUAAAGCGUGCGUAGGCGGUUCGUUAAGUCUGUUGUGAAAGCCCCGGGCUCAACCUGGGAAUGGCAAUGGAUACUGGCGAGCUAGAGUGUGUCAGAGGAUGGUGGAAUUCCCGGUGUAGCGGUGAAAUGCGUAGAGAUCGGGAGGAACAUCAGUGGCGAAGGCGGCCAUCUGGGACAACACUGACGCUGAGGCACGAAAGCGUGGGGAGCAAACAGG
rnacentral:rRNA from 1 species